rnacentral:rRNA from 1 species
AGAGCGAACGCUGGCGGCAGGCUUAACACAUGCAAGUCGAGCGGGCGUAGCAAUACGUCAGCGGCAGACGGGUGAGUAACGCGUGGGAACAUGCCUUUUGGUUCGGAACAACACAGGGAAACUUGUGCUAAUACCGGAUAAGCCCUUACGGGGAAAGAUUUAUCGCCGAAAGAUUGGCCCGCGUCUGAUUAGCUAGUUGGUGAGGUAACGGCUCACCAAGGCGACGAUCAGUAGCUGGUCUGAGAGGAUGAUCAGCCACAUUGGGACUGAGACACGGCCCAAACUCCUACGGGAGGCAGCAGUGGGGAAUAUUGGACAAUGGGCGCAAGCCUGAUCCAGCCAUGCCGCGUGAGUGAUGAAGGCCCUAGGGUUGUAAAGCUCUUUUGUGCGGGAAGAUAAUGACGGUACCGCAAGAAUAAGCCCGGCUAACUUCGCGCCAGCAGCCGC